UGUCCUACGGGACGCAGCAGUGGGGAAUAUUGGGCAAUGGGCGCAAGCCUGACCCAGCAACGCCGCGUGAAGGAAGAAGGCUUUCGGGUUGUAAACUUCUUUUAUUGAGGACGAAACAAAUGACGGUACUCAAUGAAUAAGCCACGGCUAACUACGUGCCAGCAGCCGCGGUAAUACGGAGGAUGCGAGCGUUAUCCGGAUUUAUUGGGUUUAAAGGGUGCGUAGGCGGGCUUUUAAGUCAGCGGUAAAAAUUCGGGGCUCAACCCCGUCCGGUCGUUGAAACUGGGGGCCUUGAGUGGGCGAGA
rnacentral:rRNA from 1 species